AAUGCGUUUUGAGAUGGUCCUGCGGCCUAUCAGCUAGUUGGUGGGGUAAUAGCCCACCAAGGCUAUGACGGGUAUCCGGCCUGAAAGGGUGAACGGACACACUGGAACUGAGACACGGUCCAGACUCCUACGGGAGGCAGCAGUGGGGAAUUUUGGACAAUGGGGGAAACCCUGAUCCAGCGACGCCGCGUGGAGGACGAAGGCCUUCGGGUUGUAAACUCCUUUAGAGGGGAAGAAAAAAAUGACGGUACCCUCAGAAAAAGCCACGGCUAACUACGUGCCAGCAGCCGCGGUAAUACGUAGGUGGCGAGCGUUACUCGGAAUUACUAGGCGUAAAGCGUAUGUAGGCGGUUGGAUAAGUCUUUAGUGAAAUUUCUCGGCUUAACCGGGAAAGGUCUGAGGAUACUGUUCGGCUUGAGUGUGGUAGGGGGAGACGGAAUUCCUGGUGUAGCGGUGAAAUGCGUAGAUAUCAGGAGGAACACCGAUGGCGAAAGCAGUCUCCUGGACCAAUACUGACGCUAAUGUACGAAAGCUAGGGUAGCAAACAGGAUUAGAUACCCUGGUAGUCCUAGCUGUAAACGAUGUUCACUAGAUGUGGGAGGUAUCGACCCCUUCCGCGUCGACGCUAACGCAUUAAGUGAACCGCCUGGGGAGUACGGCCGCAAGGUUGAAACUCAAAGGAAUUGACGGGGGCCCGCACAAGCGGUGGAGUAUGUGGUUUAAUUCGACGCAACGCGAAAAACCUUACCUGGGCUUGAACUGCUAAUGGUAAAAACCGGAAACGGCAAUGACCCGCAAGGGAGUUAGCAGAGGUGCUGCAUGGCUGUCGUCAGCUCGUGUCGUGAGAUGUUGGGUUAAGUCCCGCAACGAGCGCAACCCUUAUCCCAUGUUACCUGUAGCAAUACAGGGUCUCUGAGGAAACUGCCAUCGAUAAGAUGGAGGAAGGUGGGGACGACGUCAAGUCAUCAUGGCCUUUAUGUCCAGGGCUACACACGUACUACAAUGGUCGGUACAGAGGGAAGCGAUAUCGCAAGGUGGAGCAAAUCCCAAAAAGCCGGCCUCAGUUCAGAUUGUGGGCUGCAAUUCGCCCACAUGAAGUAGGAAUC
rnacentral:rRNA from 1 species